AGAGAGAGACAUGCGCGCAUAUCAAUAAGCGGAGGAAAAGAAACUAACUAGGAUUCCCUUAGUAACGGCGAGUGAAGCGGGAAGAGCUCAAAUUUGAAAUCUUCAAGGUUCUACCUUGACGAAUUGUAGUUUAUAGAAGUGUUUUCUGUUAGUGGAGUGGCAAAAGUUCUUUGGAAUAGGACAUCAUAGAGGGUGAGAAUCCCGUAUUUGGUCAUUCCUCCUAGCGUUGUGAUACACUUUCAACGAGUCGGAUUGUUUGGGAAUGCAGUCCAAAAUGGGUGGUAAAUUUCAUCUAAAGCUAAAUAUUGGCGAGAGACCGAUAGCGAACAAGUACCGUGAGGGUAAGAUGAAAAGAACUUUGAAAAGAGAGUUAAACAGUACGUGAAAUUGUCAAAAGGGAAGCGUUUGACACCAGUGUUGUUUUUCCGAAGAUCAAUUACGAAUGUUUUAGUUUUUAAGAAGUUAUGACUUCAUCGGCUUGCUCCUUUCUUUAUGAAACUUUCUUAAUGCACUUUUCGGUUAACAAGUCAACAUCAAUUUCUUUUGUUGUAAAAGGGUAUGAGGAAGGUGGCCUUCUUUUCGGAGAAAGUGUUUAUAGCCUUGUGCCUCUGCAAUCGGAGAGAUUGAGGUCUGCAGCGUAGAUCCUUCGGGGUUAGAUACGUUUGUGCUAAGUUAUAGCUUUUCAUAGACAACUUGUUGACUAUGUUUAGUCUUGUAGCUUACUCGCUUACUGCUAUUUUACCUACGCUUAGGAUGUUGAUAGUCACAGCGUGUAC
rnacentral:rRNA from 1 species